rnacentral:rRNA from 1 species
CCUACGGGAGGCAGCAGUGAGGAAUAUUGGUCAAUGGACGAGAGUCUGAACCAGCCAAGUAGCGUGAAGGAUGACUGCCCUAUGGGUUGUAAACUUCUUUUAUAAAGGAAUAAAACGAGGCACGUGUGCCUUUUUGCAUGUACUUUAUGAAUAAGGAUCGGCUAACUCCGUGCCCGCAACCGCGGUAAUACGGAGGAUCCGAGCGUUUUCCGGAUUUUUUGGGUUUAAAGGGAGCGUAGAUGGGUUGUUAAGUCAGUUGUGAAAGUUUGCGGCUCAACCGUAAGAUUGCAAUUGAUACUGGCAGUCUUGAGUACAGUUGAGGUAGGCGGAAUUCGUGGUGUAGCGGUGAAAUGCUUAGAUAUCACGAAGAACCCCGAUUGCGAAGGCAGCUUACUAAACUGUGACUGACAUUGAUGCUCGAAAGUGUGGGUAUCAAACAGGAUUAGAUACCCUUGUAGUC